rnacentral:pre_miRNA from 1 species
UAUAAAACAAUUGUCAAGGUUAGAGGAUACACAAUGUCUGGGCUGCAGGACAGAUUCCAACUUCUCUGUUAUUGCUACCAUUUGAACUCGAAAAUGACACUUUUAAAUUUUGGACUCCGCAUAAAAGUUUUAGGCCUAUGUCUUAACUUUCCAUA